AGUGGCUUAAGAGAGUCCACAAGAGAGCGCAGAGAAGCCUGGGUGAGAGAGAGCGAGAGAGAGAGAGAGAGGGGGGAGGGGGGGUGGGGGUGGCAAUGAGCAAAAAAGGUGAAUAUGAAGAUAUAUUCUGCCUGCGUGCUUGAUACUAUUUGAGCCCACGCGUGUUUUCCAGAGCGCUUCCUGCCGUGGAUAAAGAGAAGAUAAGGCACAGUCAAAGUGAACAGGACAAGCGGCCGGCUGCUUCACUCUGCUUCACUCUGCUGGUCUCAGUCCUCAGUGGAGGGGCGCUGUUCUUUCAGCACCACGAGCCCCGUGCGCACACAGUGGACAGGCUGGAAAACCUACAGUAGCACGCGCACGUGCGCCCGCACACACACGUACAGCUGAGAGAGGUGACAGUUAAGGUUAAGUUGGUG